GACAGAGGGUGCAAACGUUGUUCGGAAUUACUGGGCGUAAAGCGCAUGUAGGCGGCCUAGCAGGUCGGAUGUGAAAUCCCUCGGCUCAACCAAGGAAGUGCAUCCGAAACUGCUGAGCUUGAGUACUUAAGAGGAUCGCGGAAUUCCCGGUGUAGAGGUGAAAUUCGUAGAUAUCGGGAGGAACACCAGUGGCGAAGGCGGCGAUCUGGGAAGAUACUGACGCUGAGGUGCGAAAGCGUGGGGAGCAAACAGG
rnacentral:rRNA from 1 species